UACAGAGGGUGCGAGCGUUGUUCGGAAUUAUUGGGCGUAAAGGGCGCGUAGGCGGUGCCACAAGUCACUUGUGAAAUCCCCGGGCUUAACUCGGGGCCUGCAGGCGAAACUGUGGUGCUGGAGUAUGGGAGAGGUGCGUGGAAUUCCCGGUGUAGCGGUGAAAUGCGUAGAUAUCAGGAAGAACACCCGUGGCGAAGGCGGCUCUCUGGAACGCAACUGACGCUGAGACGCGAAAGCGUGGGGAGCAAACAGG
rnacentral:rRNA from 1 species